GAUUUCAAAGCUCAGUUGGUUAGAGUGUGGUGCAGAUAACGCCAAGGUUGCAGGUUGAAUCCCCGUAUGGGACA